rnacentral:lncRNA from 1 species
GCGCAAAGGAAAACGGCUGUGGUGCUUGUUUACAUCCAGCAUUUACUGGCUUAACGCUAGAAGCUGAGAAGUGGGGAGUGUGGUUCUCAGGAACUUGAACAUGAUUGGCUAGGGGUAACCCUGGCAACGCCAUACUUGGGCAUUUUCCGCCUUGCUUGGGCUGAAACGAGGCUUACGGCCUCUAUCUUGUAGUCUCCGCUUUAGUUUCUGUUUCAAAUCUAGCAAGUUAUGGAGCAAAGAAGUGGAGGAAAAUUAUUUUUCGCUCAGGAGUGGGAGCAGAACACUUGCAGAUUUCGGACCAUUGUGGAUGUACCGUGUUUUUUGGACCGAAAGGCUUUUUUGGAUUAUGCUCGCUGGACCUUAUCGGACAGAAUGAGACCACACUCGACGUGAAUAGACAAUGUUUGGGUUCAGAAGUCGUCAAAAAUCUGCACGUUUCCCCUGGCGCUCGCGUUUUUACACCGGCGCAGAGCGAAAGCUGUCAAGCUUGAACAUAUCCUCACUACGGAGACAAGGACGCAGGAAACAGAGCAGCCUCCAACGAGAGAAGAAGACGAGCGCUCUCAACGGGAAGAAGGGCGUCGGCCGCGGCCUUGAUGUGUGGAUGCCUGUGUAUCUGCACUGUACCACAGGUCAGAGGUCGCGACAAGGUGGAAAAAGAGGAACGCUGGGAAGAUCAACACGUCUCAUUCUGUGCAGACGCGACGCUGCCGGCGUUGGAAAUGACACACGGACACACGUCAACUCAGACUGAGGCUCGACGCUCGCUGAUGCUGAGCAGCGCCGCUCGUCCUCUGGGCUGCGUCUGACGGAAGCAGGAGAUGAAACGGGCAAACAAAGACGAAUGGAUCAAUGUGUGCAGGACACGGUCGCAUCCAGCGAAGGGACGCGAGAGACCGCUCGUCUCCCUGACAGUGGAGCUGUUCAGCGACUGCCUGUUCCCAUCCACCGUUUGUUUAUGCUGAGCCUUUAAGGACCACAGCCUGAACCAGAACCCUGCUAAUAAGCAGCACAGCAUCGGCCGGAUGCAUAAUUCAUCACUACUAAACUUGUUAGCGCGUACACAGAAGAAUAGCCCCUCACACGUUCACACAUGAGCAAACACUCACAUGUUGCAGGUUGCAGCUUUUCAGCUCAUCUCUUUAAAUAAUAAUAGAGCGUCAGGUUUGUCCUUCAAAAUAAAUACAGAAUAUUUUGAUUACUAAGUUCUUGU